rfam:Danio rerio unplaced genomic contig CTG470, GRCz11 reference primary assembly.
GGCUCGUUGGUCUAGGGGUAUGAUUCUCGCUUGGGUGUGAGACGUCCCGGGUUCGAAUCCUGGACGAGCCU